GGAUGGGGGGGGCAAUCUGGCUGCCACAUCUGUCACCUCAUUGAUCACCAGGGUUGAUUUGGCUGAUCUGGCUGGCUAGGCAGGUGUCCUCUUCCUACCUGACUGCUCCGUGCGUGUCCCUCCUGAAGCUGUGUGCUCAGUCCAAGAGGAUGACCAUCCCUGAUAGAGUAGGACCAUUCUUUGGUCAAGGGUAUUGGAGUAGCUGCGCUCCCCUGCUAGAACCUCCAAACAAAAAGGAGGGCCAGGCAAUAGGGCUUUGGAGCUCU
ensembl:misc_RNA 7SK 7SK RNA